CUGCACUGGCUUUAAGAGUAUAUAGGACAUUGGGCGUGCUGUCCGACGCUCAGUUUCAUCUUCUUUUCUAUGUUUGGAAAACAGGAGCUUAGCACCAGCAACAGAGGCACCGUACCAUCACUGUGUACAACCUUGCUCCCAUGGUGAUACAAACCUUGGAAAGGUCUGGAAUAUGUGCUGGGUAUAAAAUCACAACACAGAAAACGGGGCUUGGAUGAUUUCUUCAACAAGUAUUGAUGUUGGUGGUGAGUGUAUUCAGAUUCUCCCAAGAAGAGAAUUAAAGCCGAAUUUCCCACUACAUUUUUAAUAAAGUGCAAGCAUUUUAUCACUGCACCUGGACCAGGGAGUUGAUCUGCAGUCUUCCAGCCACCAGGGACAAGCAAACGAUGGGUUUUCUUAACAUUUGUGUGAAUCAUGAGUAAAUUAUGACUACGCCAAGCAGAUCAUCAAUAAAAUGAGAUGUUAUCCUGA